rnacentral:rRNA from 1 species
UGAGGAAUAUUGGUCAAUGGGCGCGAGCCUGAACCAGCCAAGUAGCGUGAAGGAUGAAGGUCCUACGGAUUGUAAACUUCUUUUAUAAGGGAAUAAAGUCACCCACGUGUGGGUGUUUGUAUGUACCUUAUGAAUAAGCAUCGGCUAACUCCGUGCCAGCAGCCGCGGUAAUACGGAGGAUGCGGGCGUUAUCCGGAUUUAUUGGGUUUAAAGGGAGCGUAGACGGGUCGUUAAGUCAGCUGUGAAAGUUUGGGGCUCAACCUUAAAAUUGCAGUUGAUACUGGCGUCCUUGAGUACGGUUGAGGCAGGCGGAAUUCGUGGUGUAGCGGUGAAAUGCUUAGAUAUCACGAAGAACCCCGAUUGCGAAGGCAGCCUGCUAAACCGCCACUGACGUUGAGGCUCGAAAGUGUGGGUAUCAAACAGGAUUAGAUACCCUGGUAGUCCACACGGUAAACGAUGGAUACUCGCUGUUGGCGAUAGACUGUCAGCGGCUUAGCGAAAGCGUUAAGUAUCCCACCUGGGGAGUACGCCGGCAACGGUGAAACUCAAAGGAAUUGACGGGGGCCCGCACAAGCGGAGGAACAUGUGGUUUAAUUCGAUGAUACGCGAGGAACCUUACCCGGGCUUGAAUUGCAGACGAAUUGCUUGGAAACAGGCAAGCCGCAAGGCGUCUGUGAAGGUGCUGCAUGGUUGUCGUCAGCUCGUGCCGUGAGGUGUCGGCUUAAGUGCCAUAACGAGCGCAACCCUCGUGUCCAGUUACUAGCAGGUUAUGCUGAGGACUCUGGACAGACUGCCAUCGUAAGAUGUGAGGAAGGUGGGGAUGACGUCAAAUCAGCACGGCCCUUACGUCCGGGGCUACACACGUGUUACAAUGGGGGGUACAGCAGGCAGCUACCGGGCGACCGGAUGCCAAUCCCGAAAGCCUCUCUCAGUUCGGACUGGAGUCUGCAACCCGACUCCACGAAGCUGGAUUCGCUAGUAAUCGCGCAUCAGCCACGGCGCGGUGAAUACGUUCCC